rnacentral:tRNA from 1 species
GGGGAUAUAGCUCAGUGGUAGAGCACUUGCAUGCAUGCAGGAUGUCCUGGGUUAGAUCUCCAGCACUGCCC